CGGUAAUUGAGGGGAAGGUGUUGUGAUGUCAUAGAAAGCCGUCAUCGUUUAGAACCGUGUUAUGAUUUCAGUAACCCUGCUCAAGAGAUUUUACCGACAAUAAUGGGUGAAGAGAAGUUGGUUGAAAUUUCGAUAAAUCACGAGGGGGAGGAUUUUUUAGCAUUUGUCAGAUUGGAAACUGCAAAUGUAUUGUUGAAUGAUCCAGAGGCAG